rnacentral:rRNA from 1 species
CCUACGGGAGGCAGCAGUGAGGAAUAUUGGUCAAUGGACGAGAGUCUGAACCAGCCAAGUAGCGUGAAGGAUGACUGCCCUAUGGGUUGUAAACUUCUUUUAUAUGGGAAUAAAUGUUCAACGUGUGGGAUUUUGUAUGUACCAUAUGAAUAAGGAUAGGCUAACUCCGUGCCAGCAGCCGCGGUAAAACGGAGGGUCCGAGCGUUAUCCGGAUUUAUUGGGUUUAAAGGGAGCGUAGGUGGAUUGUUAAGUCAGUUGUGAAAGUUUGCGGCUAAACCGUAAAAUUGCAGUUGAAUCUGGCAGUCUUGAGUACAGUAGAGGUGAGCGGAAUUCGUGGUGUAGCGGUGAAAUGCUUAGAUAUCACGAAGAACUCCAAUGGCGAAGGCAGUUCACUGGACUGCAACUGACACUGAGGCUCGAAAGUGUGGGUAGCAAACAGGAUUAGAUACCCUGGUAGUC